GACAACAAAAGCAGAAUGUCACAAGCAAGGACUAUAACACGGUGAAAUAUCAUAUCAAUGUAUCGAAAUAAAAUUUCAACGAUAUAAUAGCAUAUAAAUGUCAAAUUCACAUAUCAAACUUUGCUUUUGCAGAACACAAAUAAAAAUGAUAUAAAACAACAUCAACCAAAGUAUAUAAAUUGCUUACAAAAUUAUUACAAAGCUUACAUACGAAACAAAUCUGCACAAGCAUGACGCAAACGACCAGACAUCGACAAUGUUACAUUAAUAUAUCAAAAGAGAAUUCAUCAGCAAAAUGACAUGUAAAUGUUGAAUUCGCAUAUCAAAGUCCGAUUUUACACAAUGUAGUGAAAUAAAACAAAAGCCAACAACAACAGAAGCAUUAUAUUUACAAUAUUUCCAAAGUUAUUUACAGUGCUCAAAUGCAAAAAAAAAAAUCAGAACAAGCACAACGCAAGCGAAUCAAUAUCAAUAAUAGAAAUAUACAGAGUAACGUAAAUAGGUCAACACAAUAGAAAAUUGAACGAGUUCAAAUCAUUACCGAUGAAAACGAUGAUAGAUGUUGCGUUUGUGUGUGACAUAGAGGUGGUGCAGUUUGUGCUUGGAGCUUCGCUUGUUGUAGCAGAGAAUGGAUGCAAAGUUAUGCUGCUGUUGAGUUGUUGUUGUUUCUUAGAGGUGGACCGGUGGUAGUGUUGUGCGGUCGGAGGUUUGAUGUAGUCGUCGGAGUAAAGCACAACAGCGGGAGUAAAUUGAGGGAAAAGGUUGUUCUGAUGAAGGGCGUCAAUGUGUUUCAGUUUGUGUGUUUGAGGCGGUAAGUUGAAUGGUAUGAAACAAUGGUGAAGCUAAGUUCCAGUGAGUUAACAAUGAAGCGAAAGAAGUUUGUAUGUUAAGAUGAAGGUGACGACAUUGAUGAGAGAGGAAGAUGGGUGUUCGAAGGGUGGUUUUGGUUGGAGAAUGGCGACGUGAGAGAGUAAAGUGGUUGAGGGGUUUGUUUGUGUAGCUCGGAGAAGGAAGGUUGCAGUGGGCUUUCUUCGACAACCAGAGUAAUGGGGUAAGGCGGAGGUGAGUGAUGUUAUGAGUGAUUGAGGUGUGCUAUGGGUUAAUGGUUGCAUAAGGAGGGAGGGAAUAUGUGAUGAAAUUGAUGAAGAUAAGAAAUAUUUUUGACAAAGAAAAUGAGAGAGAGAAUCAUAUGAGAGUAUUGAAAAUGUAUGAGUUAUCUAAGUGAGAGUUUUUUUUGUGUUAUGAUGCUGGUACCAUGAAGAAGUUAGUGAAUAGUAUAUUUCCCCCAUUUUCAAAAGUGAAGAGAGAAUGUGUCUUAAGGUCGCGUUUGGAUUCUUGCAUCUGGAGAAAAACCAUUUUUCUCACUUUUCUUUCCAUAUUUCCUUUGUUGCGUGGUCCCCCCAUGUUUCACUCUCUUUCUGCCAAUAAUCCAUCAAAUUUAGAGAGACAUUAGUGGGGGUGUAUCACUCUCUUUUUUACUAAAAAAUGGAAAAGAAGA
rnacentral:lncRNA from 1 species